GGCGGAGGAAAAGAAACCAACAGGGAUUGCCUCAGUAACGGCGAGUGAAGCGGCAACAGCUCAAAUUUGAAAUCUGGUCCCCUCUGGGGGCCCGAGUUGUAAUUUGAAGAGGAUGCUUUUGGCGAGGCGCCUUCCGAGUGCCCUGGAACGGGACGCCACAGAGGGUGAGAGCCCCGUAUGGUAGGACGCCGAGCCUCUGUAAAGCUCCUUCGACGAGUCGAGUAGUUUGGGAAUGCUGCUCAAAAUGGGAGGUAAACCCCUUCUAAAGCUAAAUAUUGGCCAGAGACCGAUAGCGCACAAGUAGAGUGAUCGAAAGAUGAAAAGCACUUUGAAAAGAGAGUUAAACAGCACGUGAAAUUGUUGAAAGGGAAGCGCUUGCGACCAGACUUGCGCCCGUCGGAUCAACCGUCCCUCGUGGGCGGCGCACUCCGGCGGGCUCAGGCCAGCAUCAGUUUUCCUGGGGGUAGAAAGGCGGUGGGAAUGUAGCUCUUCGGAGUGUUAUAGCCCGCCGUGUAAUGCCCUCGGGGGGACUGAGGACCGCGCGUAUGCAAGGAUGCUGGCGUAAUGGUCGUCAGCGACCCGUCUUGAAMMACGG
rnacentral:rRNA from 1 species